UACGUAGGGUGCGAGCGUUAAUCGGAAUUACUGGGCGUAAAGCGUGCGCAGGCGGUUUUGUAAGCCAGAUGUGAAAUCCCCGGGCUCAACCUGGGAACUGCAUUUGUGACUGCAUCGCUGGAGUACGGAAGAGGGGGAUGGAAUUCCGCGUGUAGCAGUGAAAUGCGUAGAUAUGCGGAGGAACACCGAUGGCGAAGGCAAUCCCCUGGGCCUGUACUGACGCUCAUGCACGAAAGCGUGGGGAGCAAACAGG
rnacentral:rRNA from 1 species